AUUGAACGCUGGCGGCAGGCUUAACACAUGCAAGUCGAGCGGGGGAGGUUGCUUCGGUAACUGACCUAGCGGCGAACGGGUGAGUAAUGCUUAGGAAUCUGCCUAUUAGUGGGGGACAACGUUCCGAAAGGAACGCUAAUACCGCAUACGCCCUACGGGGGAAAGCAGGGGAUCUUCGGACCUUGCGCUAAUAGAUGAGCCUAAGUCGGAUUAGCUAGUUGGUGGGGUAAAGGCCUACCAAGGCGACGAUCUGUAGCGGGUCUGAGAGGAUGAUCCGCCACACUGGGACGGAGACACGGCCCAGACUCCUACGGGAGGCAGCAGUGGGGAAUAUUGGACAAUGGGCGGAAGCCUGAUCCAGCCAUGCCGCGUGUGUGAAGAAGGCCUUUUGGUUGUAACGCACUUUAAGCGAGGAGGAGGCUCCUUUAGUUAAUACCUAAAGUGAGUGGACGUUACUCGCAGAAUAAGCACCGGCUAACUCUGUGCCAGCCGCCGCAGUAA
rnacentral:rRNA from 1 species